rnacentral:rRNA from 1 species
GUCCACGCCCUAAACUAUGUCAACUGGCUUUCCGGAGUAUCGACCCUCUGGGAGGCGAAGCUAACGCGUUAAGUUGACCGCCUGGGUAGUACGGUCGCAAGACUAAAACUCAAAGGAAUAGACGGGGCUUGCACAAGUGGUGGAGCGUGUGGCUCAAUUCGUCGCUAAGCGAAGAACCUUACCCAGACUAGAAAUCCUACUGCACGCCUAGCGAAAGCUAGGAAGCCUUCGAGGGUGUAGGACAGGUGAUGCAUGGCUGUCGU